AGCGAACGCUGGCGGCAGGCUUAACACAUGCAAGUCGAACGGUCCUUCGGGAUAGUGGCGGACGGGUGAGUAACACGUGGGAACGUACCCUUAGGUUCGGAACAACACAGGGAAACUUGUGCUAAUACCGGAUAAGCCCUUCGGGGGAAAGAUUUAUCGCCUUUGGAGCGGCCCGCGUCUGAUUAGCUUGUUGGUGAGGUAAUGGCUCACCAAGGCUACGAUCAGUAGCUGGUCUGAGAGGAUGGCCAGCCACACUGGGACUGAGAAACGGCCCAGACUCCUACGGGAGGCAGCAGUGGGGAAUCUUGCGCAAUGGGCGAAAGCCUGACGCAGCCAUGCCGCGUGGAUGAUGGAGGUCUUAGGAUUGUAAAAUCCUUUCACCGGGGACGAUAAUGACGGUACCCGGAGAAGAAGCCCCGGCUAACUUCGUGCCAGCCGCCGCAGUAA
rnacentral:rRNA from 1 species